CUUCCCAUUCUCAAAAGUUUCAUAUCCUCUGGUAAAUACUUAACACUUUUUCAACCUAUAAAAAACUUUCUUCCAAUAUCUUAUAUUUUUAUUUUAAAAUUAUUUUUAUAUAUUCAGAUGUACUAAUAUUUUUACUAUUGGAAAAAAAACACAAUAACUCAUUUAUAUGUAUAAACCUAUUACAUAAUUCCAAAUCAUACAUUUAUAUUCAAUUGGGUUCCUUCAACCAUUUCGCAACAGCGAUAAAUACCUUUCACGGUUAAUAAUAAUUCAACAUGAAUCAAUGGAGACAAAAGCUAUCAUAAAUUUGAUUUAAAUAUAGCUUCAUUCUAACUAUUAAAGACGCAGUAUAUUCAUACAGUAACAUCUUUGUCAUUCGAUUUGAUUGGUCUUAUGUCAGAGAUUUUUUUCCAGUGUCAACGACCAUGAUUUUCUUGAUUAAAUGAGUUUGCGAUGGAUAUGCGUGCAUUGGGGAUACAAAGAAAAUUAGUGGCCAUGUUAUCAAACUUAUGUGAUCAUAAUUCAAAAAUGUUUCUUGAAGCAAGAUUUAAUGGCAACACUCAGAAACCUUUGACUUGAGGAAUUUUGGAACAUAUCUUUGAAAUCCUUCGCUACAAAUUUUAGUAGUGGGUAUGCUAUCAAGCUUUGGAAAUGAUUCUCGAAGCAGGAGUUAAUGGAAACACUCAAAAACCUUUCACUCGAGGAAUUUUUAAACACAUCAUUAAAAUCUUUAACUUCAUAUGAAUCUAAUGUUCCUCAUUAUUAUGAUGUGAUAUGUUUAUAGUUUGUAGGGGAGACAUUGACUCUUUGAGUUGAAAUAUCAAAUAAAUUAUGAAAUGUAUGGGAUGAAAAACAAAAGUAGUUUAUCUACCAUAUUUUGGAAAUUAGUAACUAUGAGAAACAAUGUGACGAAGGAAGCAAGCCCAUCAUAAAUGAAUGAAAAAGGGAUAAUGUUACUGAAAUGAUGGAAUCUAGUCCAUCGUCAAUUCCUGACCCAUUACAAAAAAUUAUGAUUGGACCAUCACCGCGACAACAAUACAUAAUACUUUCUAAUCCUUCUCCAAGUCGAAUUAUCAAAAUACCACAGGAUGAUAUGGAUUCAUCAGAUCCUACUCUAGGAUGCAUUAUCACAAUGUCAAUGGAUGGCAUUGGAUUUACCGGAUCCUCCUCCAAAUUAUGUUAUCACAAUUUCAUUUUCAAAGCCGCAUUAUCACAAUUUUAAAUUACA